AAGUCGUUUAAGGGUUUGACGUGUAAAUUUCGUAACGCUACGAGAAUUUUUCACUUUCCAGAAAUGCCCUCCCACCACCGCUCGCUCUCACCCACUCGAGCUCACUCUCUCGUUCCCCUCUCACCCACCCGGCCACCCCUCUCUCGCUCCCCUCCAGAUCCCCGUCGUCGCCGGCCUCUCCUCGCCAUCGUCACCGCUGAGCCACCCCGCUUCCUCUCUUUCUCCGCACCACCGAGCCACCCCGUUUCCUCCCACCGCCAGAAAUCCACCACCCGUAGGUCAAAACCUUGAUUUUUUAGGCGCCGGCGAUGAGCUUCUGGCCGGCGGAGGCGCUGGAUCCGCGUGCUUCGACGCCGGCGACGAAGCGACAUGGAUCCGGGCGGGAUGCUGCUGGAGGACUUCGGGCUGUGGGUGGACCUGGUGCGGCGCAUCCGCGAGGUGCUGGCCAACUACCCGGAGGGCACCACCGCGCUGCGGGACGCCGGGAGCUCAUCCAGAACGCCGACGAUGCCGGGGCCUCGUGCGUCCGCCUCUGCCUCGACCGCCGCGCCCAUGGGUCCCGCUCGCUGCUCGCCCCCGCGCUUGCACAGUGUACGCCAGCAACGACACCGCCUUCACCGACGAAGAGUUCGCCAGCAUCCCCCGCAUCGGCGGCCGCAAGAAGUCCUCCCAGGCCUGGAAGACCGGCAGCAAGAUGGGCGCUAGCUACACUCUCUAUCGCUGCCGAGCUCUGCUUUGAGCUGCUGCUCUUUCAAUUUGAGCUGCGCUAGCUAAGCUCUUUCAAUCUGAACCAAUUGUUUUAAAGAAGGGCUAAUGAAAAAAGAUGUGUGAGGGUAUCAGUCAUUCUCAUGCCGGCAUGCUGCACUUUUCAGCUAGCAGAUGCAGAGCGAGUACUGGGCGAGGAGAUGAACCUAGGCGAGCAAAAUUGAGAACUCCGGCUGGAGCAGCUCCUGUCCAGCGGCGAGGACUUCAGCGGCAGCAGCACCUGUGCGUGGGGAGGAACAACACCUGGGUGCGUGCAGGCGGCAGCUCGCCUCCAACAGUGGGCGGCAGCAGAGCACCAGCUCGCCACCACCAGGGGCCGGCAGCAGAGCACCAGCUCGCCUCCACCAGCGGGCGGCAGCAGAGCACCACCUGGGCACGCGCGGGCCAGGAGGGGCCCCUGGGCGUGGGAGAGGAGGAGCGCCUGGGCAGGGGUGGAGGUGGAGGGCGGGGGAGGAGGCGGAGGUGGAAGACGCCGAGGAAGAAGACGGGCUGAUUCAAAGUUUGAACUGGGGGCAUAAAGGUCCAUUUGCCCAUUUUCACCUGGUCGGAACAUAUUCCCCAGCGACUUACAUUUCGGAACGGAGGGAGUAUCAUCGAUCCUAAUUUACAUCUAUGAAUCGAAAAAAAGGAAAGCUUGACUUCUAUUUUUAAUGUGGAAUAAAUUGUGAGCUAGUUUGGAUUGUGUC